AGAACGAACGCUGGCGGCAUGCCUAACACAUGCAAGUCGAACGUGAUCCAUGACUUCGGUUGUGGUGAAAGUGGCAAACGGGUGAGUAACGCGUGGGAAUCUGCCCAGAGGUAGGGAAUAACCGCGGGAAACUGCGGCUAAUACCCUAUGUGCCCUACGGGGCAAAGAUUUAUCGCCUUUGGAGGAGCCCGCGUCGGAUUAGGUAGUUGGUAGGGUAACGGCCUACCAAGCCUACGAUCCGUAGCUGGUCUGAGAGGAUGAUCAGCCACACUGGGACUGAGAUACGGCCCAGACUCCUACGGGAGGCAGCAGUGGGGAAUAUUGGACAAUGGGGGCAACCCUGAUCCAGCAAUGCCGCGUGAGUGAUGAAGGCCUUCGGGUUGUAAAGCUCUUUCGGCGGGAAGAUGAUGACGGUACCGCAGAGAAGCCCGGCUACGUCGUGCCAGCAGCCGC
rnacentral:rRNA from 1 species